rnacentral:rRNA from 1 species
GACGAACGCUGGCGGCGUGCUUAACACAUGCAAGUCGAACGGAAAGGCCCUGCUUUUGUGGGGUGCUCGAGUGGCGAACGGGUGAGUAACACGUGAGUAACCUGCCCUUGACUUUGGGAUAACUUCAGGAAACUGGGGCUAAUGCCGGAUAGGAGCUCCUGCUGCAUGGUGGGGGUUGGAAAGUUUCGGCGGUUGGGGAUGGACUCGCGGCUUAUCAGCUUGUUGGUGGGGUAGUGGCUUACCAAGGCUUUGACGGGUAGCCGGCCUGAGAGGGUGACCGGCCACAUUGGGACUGAGAUACGGCCCAGACUCCUACGGGAGGCAGCAGUGGGGAAUAUUGCACAAUGGGCGGAAGCCUGAUGCAGCAACGCCGCGUGCGGGAUGACGGCCUUCGGGCUGUAAACCGCUUUCGCCUGUGACGAAGCGUGAGUGACGGUAAUGGGUAAAGAAGCACCGGCUAACUACGUG